UACAGGGGGUGCAAACGUUGCUCGGAAUCAUUGGGCGCAAAGCGCACGUAGGCGGUUCGUUAUGUCGGAUGUGAAAGCCCUUGGCUUAACCGAGGAAGUGCAUCCGAAACUGGCGAGCUAGAGUACUAAAGAGGAUCGCGGAAUUCCCGGUGUAGAGGUGAAAUGCGCAGAUAUCAGGAGGAACACCGGUGGCGAAGGCGGGUCUCUGGGCCGAUACUGACGCUGAGGAGCGAAAGCGUGGGGAGCGAACAGGG
rnacentral:rRNA from 1 species